UAUAUAUCAAAUAACAAAAAAUUUAAUUAAAAAUUACACAAGUUCAUCAAUGCGAACAACUUAAUGUGUCAUAAUAUAUAUGAUCAAAACAAUAACAUAGGUCCAAUUUAAUAAAUGAGAAUAAGUUAUGUGAUAAUAUUAUUGACUAUCAUAUUUUUCCUGAGUUCAAUUAUAUUGUGCCAUGUAAAAUUGCACAGAUGAAUGUGUAUAAUAAAAUUUGUAUAUCUAGUAUUGUUUGAGUGAUAGUAGAGCAGUAAACAAAUUGUAUAAACGUAUGUGUGCAAAAUACAAACCAAUGUGGCUCUGACACGCGAAAGUAUUUGUUUGAUAAACACCAGUUAAUAAAAAUAAAAAUAUAAAAAUACAAAUUUAUUCAAUCUAUUUGUAACUCUAUCAUCACUUAUAUUGUUAAUAUAUUGACUACUACUGACGAUCAAUAUCCAAUAUUGAACGAUUCGUACAUAAUACUCGUGAUUCCCAAAUUAUAUCUUAAAAAAAUGAAAACAUUUUUGUGUCCUCAAAGUCAAAAUCUAAUAAGAACUUUUGCUCUGCUUAUUCAAAUAAUGGGCCAAGCUCUGGUAAGCUGGUAAGCCGAUCUAUCCAUGCUUGAACCCACCAUUCUUGGGCUAACCGAAGAACAAGAUCAUGAGCCCAUUACAAAUGAUUGCAACUUGCACGGUACCAAAACUCUCAUAAAACCCAUUUUCUAAGAUACACUCCUCUACAUAUACAUACAUACAUACAUAUAUACAUAUACAUCUAUGUAUAUGUAUAUGUAUUACUAGAAUUGGACUAUUGGACUAUUGGCAUAUACAUAUAUGUAUAUGUAUAUGUAUUACUAGAAUUGGACUAUUGGACUAUUGGCACCACCUAUUAUCCUCUUAAAACUCCUUUUGUAAAGAUAUCCAAUUAAAUAAUUUGAAACAUCAGAUAACGUUUAUUGACACCCUUUUUAUUCCAUAAAUAUUUGUACUUCACUCAUUCCUCUAAACAAACUCCCAUACAUGAUAUUUCUUUUUCUUAAUUUCUUUAGGUACAUAAACUAAAAUUUCUAUAUUCUCUUAUUGCUAACGCUAACCAUGCAUCUUAUAAACAAAAUAAAUAGUUAAUAUUUUUUUGGGAUUGAUUAUUUUGAUGACAAUUUGUCUAUUGUUCAACAUCAUAUAGACUUACAAUUCCCAAUAAGAAAAAUAAAAUAAAAUAAAAUUUUUAUGUCAUGAAUACUCCUAAAGGCUUACAAGAAGCCAUGGGAAAGUCAUGGGGUGUUUUCAUUAAGAAUGGCAAAAUCUGAGUUGGGGUCCGAAUUCGAGUUUAGCCGUCUUGGUUCUGGACCUAGAUGACAAGCUAAAAUGUAGGGUUUGUUUUGUUUUUCUCAUUUUUUGCUUUUAUACUUAUAAAUAAUAAAUAAUUAAAUAAUUAAAUAAUAUUCAAAAUACGAUAAUUUGGGUUGCUGGUUUCUGAAAAUUCAAGUUCACUUGAACUUAGAACCCGACUCAAAUAAGUCUAGGUUUAGGAAACCAAUGCUGGAUUCCGCAUAAUAUAUGCAUCCGUUAGAAGUUGAAAAUGGCCCUGAACAACUGAGUUUGUUCAAAUUCGAGUUAUCUUGCCAUAUAUAGUUUUCAUCUAUUUCUAUUCAUGAAAGCCAUUUUUCUAGGGUUGGACACUUUCUUUAGUACUAAAUUAGGGCACCGUUGACAUUUUUCGAGAUAUAUAAAGAACAAUGACAAGUUCAAUGUAAAUCAGGGAUGGAACAAGCCAAUCUUGGCUGGAGGGGCCAAGAAUUUUUUCAAGCCUAUAAAUAGGUAUUU
rnacentral:lncRNA from 1 species